CUCCAGAUGUUGCUGAAAUACAACUCCCAUGAUUCUCAGCCUAUCUAUUUCAUUCAGAGAAUCAUGGGAGUUGUAGUUCAGCAACAUCUGGAG
rnacentral:miRNA from 1 species